rnacentral:misc_RNA from 1 species
UCUCCGUAGGUGAGCCUGCGGAAGGAUCAUUAUUGUAUAACCGAGGUGCGAGGGCUGUCGCUGACCCGAAAGGUCGUGCACGCCCGAGUGCCCUCACACACAUCCAUCUCACCCCUAUGUGCACCACCGCGUGGGUCCCCCUUUGGCUUGUUCGGAGGGGGGCUUACGUUUUCACACAAACUUUGUAUGCAGUGUAGAAUGUAUUUUUUGUUUUUGCGAUCACGCAAUCAAUACAACUUUCAACAACGGAUCUCUUGGCUCUC